AUGUGUGCUAAAAUAAAUGUUGAUGCGGUGGUCGGACCCAACCGAGGAUGUGGAGCUAUUGCUACAAUAUGCCUGGAUCAAUCUGGCCUAUUCUAGGGAGAAUCAACUAUUGCUAUCAAGGGAAUCAGUGACCCGUCAACUCUUGAAGCUUUAGCAGUUCAAGAGGCUCUAGCCCUUGCUGAAGAUCUCAACCUCCGCAGGAUUCAUAUUGCCUCGGAUUGCAAGGUUAUAGUGGAUGACAUCAAGCAAAGAACUCUGGCUAGCUACGGUGCUAUCUUACAUGAAAUCAUAGACCAUAGUAGUUCUUUUACUUCUUGCACUUUUGGUCACGAGUUUAGGAGCUCGGAUUUCGAGGCUCACAAUCUAGCGAAGCAUGUGUUAAAGUUAGGGGUUGGCCUUCAUGUUUGGUUAGGCAACCCGGUUAAUCUCUUUUUUGUACCUUUGAACAUUGGUCCGAGUUAA
rnacentral:rRNA from 1 species